UGAGUCGAAGCCCGCUGGAUUGGGUGCUUAGUUGUUAACUAAGGUUUUAUGGGAUCGAGGCCCGUCGAGUCAG
rnacentral:tRNA from 1 species